CUCCUUUCCCGGUCAGCUUGUCUCCUCGGGCGAGAGUGAGAGCGGUACUGGAACCGUUCCGUCGCCUCCUCCCCCAGCGGGCAGGGCUCAAGAGGAGCGCAUGGGGAGCUCUCUCUCUCUCUUUCUCUCUUCCUCCCUCUUUCGUCUCUUCACAGGGUGAUGAGGGAGCAGCGCUGUUGGCGGUAGAGGAGGUGCGUGGCAGUCCAGGAAGCUCUCAUUCUGCUGCUGCGUGCUGCUUCGCCGUCGUCCGGCUUCAGCCUUACUCUCUCUCUCUGUGCGUGUGUGUCAGAGUUGCCUUACCCUGCCUCCUCUCUCCUCCCCCCCACAUUGAGUCCCCUUUUCCUCCUGCCUCUCGUGAGUGUGCUCUCGGUGCCUCUCUGGUCCUCUUAAUUCUCCUUCUUUUCGCCGUUUCUGCUCUGUCGUCUCCCUUUUUACGUAUCUCCUCGUCUUCUUCAGCAGACAGAUAAAGCAGAGACGGAGACAGCUUCCUGGAGCGCAAAGUAAUGGCGGCUCUUUCCAAGUUUCAGCGGCACCGGCAGCAGCAGGCUUGGGAUCAACCUGCCAAAGCACAGCCUUGAAGUUUGGACUUUAAAGCGGACCGCCUGCUUGCUGGGAUGCUGAGCAGGACAGCCCCUCCCUCCCAGCUAAACAAACUGUUAGAUAAUGCCCACCAGGGUACAGUACCUGGGGAUGAGUUGAAAAAGCACACAUGGCCAGUAAAAUGCAAACAAUAAAAGGUCCCCUCAAAAAUCCCUGUGUCCAAAUAAAUUAGCAUGCUCGAAAAACCCACGGUGGUUUCUCCCUCCUGUCACAUCUGAUGAGCAAAGAAACUGACUGAGCAGAAGGUGAAAAACCUUCUGAACUGAAAAGUUGAUUUUAUGUCCCUCAUGUGUCAUUCAUUCAGAAAAUAUCAGUGUAUACUUCCUGAUUUUACCUAAAGAAGAAUAAAUCUGGAAAAUGGAGUAACA